rnacentral:ncRNA from 1 species
AAAAAAAUUUUAUUUUUAUUUAAAAAUUAAAUUAAAAUUAAUUUUACAUGUAAAUUUUUGUAUAAAAAUUAAUUUAAUUUGAAAAAUUAAAUUUUGUAAUUUUAUAUUCAGUGAAUAAAUUUAAAAAUUAAAGAAAUUUAGAUUUAGGUAAAUUUUUUAUUAUUAACAAAAUUUGUGCCAGCAGUUGCGGUUAUACAAAUAAUAAAAUUUAAUUAAUUUAGUAUUAAUUAAUAAAUUAAUAAAUUUUAACUUAAGAUUUAUUAGGUGAAAUUUUAAAUUUUAAAAUUAAAUUAAUUUUAUUUAUGAUAUUAGGAAAUUUAUUAAAUAAACUAGGAUUAGAUACCCUAUUAUUUUAAAUGUUAAUUAUAAAGAUUAAAUUAGUAUUAGUUAUGUUCUUGAAAAUUAAAGAUUUUGGCGGUAUUUUAGUCUAUUCAGAGGAACCUGUUCUAUAAUUGAUAGUCCACGAUUUAAUUUACUUUUUUUAUUAAUUUAUAUAUCGUCGUAGUUUGAAUUUUUUAAAAGAAUUAUAAUAUUCAAUUUUUUAGUUAAAAGUGAAAUCAGAUCAAGGUAUAGUUUAUAAAAAAGAAGAAAUGGGUUACAUUAAUAAAAAUUUUUGGAUUUUUUUAUUUAAAAAAGAAUGAAUAUGGAUUUGAAAGUAAAUUAAUUUAAUUUAUUUAAUUGAUUUAAGCUCUAAAAUAUGUACAUAUUGCCCGUCGCUUUCACUUUAAAGUGAAAUAAGUCGUAACAAAGUAGGUUUACUGGAAAGUGAACCUAGAUAGAA